GACACGGCGAGAGAGGUUGUCGGGCGUAAGGGACACAGGGGCGUGUGUGCCGAAGCCCGGAGAGUCACGGUGGACGUCCGGGGGGUGGCGGGAGCGAGUGGGCCUGCGACGGGCCGCGGACCCCGUGGAGGACAGCGGCCCGAACUCACGCGGAGGUUCGCUUUUAGGGCGGACCCCCCACCUCCCGCCCCGUGUUUAACUUCGCGCCUGCGGUGGCCGACCUAGCUCGUCUAGGAUGCAGCCACAGAGGCAGCGACAACACCCUCUCCUUUCGUCACAAGGAAGCGUCCUUCCCGGAAUCCCCCCGCAGUUGCUGUCAGAUGUCCGCGGACAGGGUCCCUUCGCGCGCGCCUCGCGCAGACGGAGGGGAAGCGGACGAGCGUGGGCUCCGGCCAGCGGGGCCGGGCGUCCGUCAGGCCCCACGCCGCAGCUCCAAGGGCGCAUAGCGGCCAUCAGGAGGAGUUGGAGGCCAAGUGGGGACAACCGAACCUGCCACAAACCUGCUGGAACCCACAGGAUGGACUGGUCACACGCAUGUCCUGCAGGAGCAGUGGGCACCGGUCCUCACAGGAGGACACGCCUGGCCCAGGAGUGGGGCAAGCCGAAGGCUGCACGCCGGCCCCCACCAGUGAGGUGAGCGGCAGCCACCCCUGGACCCCUGCCCUGCCCUUCCAAGUGUAAAAACGUCGCGGCUUUCCCCGUCCCACGCAGAAUGCCUCUCGUGGCCCAGUUAGGACACCUGCAGGAAGGAGAAUUCUAGUGAAGUGGUCCGGCCCAGCCUAGUUGCCACACCCCACGGAGGCCAUCACCAUACCAGAAAGGCGCUCUUGGCUGUCAUUGUCCACUCCCCUUGGGGCGCUUUAGAUCCUUUGCUGCUCAGGGACAGAUGACCAGCGCCUCCGCCCGUUUCUGGAUCCAGAGCCCCUCAGGCCCAGAGUCCCAGCCGUCCACGCUGCCUGGCCCUUCCGUUUCACCUUUGAUCUCUGAAAGUGUUUUGGUUUUUAUAUAUUUUUUUGAACGAUCUGUUGUAGCCAUGAGUGGAGGGAAUCGGGGAAGGUCUCUGAACGUGAACUUGUAAUGCCUUCCGCCCAGAGGAAGUAAAUGUUUUUCAAAUAAAGGACAAUAAAAGAGUUUUGUCCUA